CUACGGGGGGCUGCAGUGGGGAAUAUUGGACAAUGGGGGAAACCCUGAUCCAGCAAUGCCGCGUGUGUGAAGAAGGCCUGCGGGUUGUAAAGCACUUUCGGUUGGGAGGACUGCUUCUAGCACUAAUAUUGUUGGAAGUUGACGUUACCUUCAGAAGAAGCACCGGCUAACUCCGUGCCAGCAGCCGCGGUAAUACGGAGGGUGCAAGCGUUAAUCGGAAUUACUGGGCGUAAAGCGCGCGUAGGCGGCUAGAUCAGUCGGGUGUGAAAGCCCCGGGCUUAACCUGGGAACUGCAUCCGAUACUGUCGAGCUUGAGUACAGGAGAGGAGAGUGGAAUUCCACAUGUAGCGGUGAAAUGCGUAGAUAUGUGGAGGAACACCAAUGGCGAAGGCAGCUCUCUGGCCUGAUACUGACGCUGAGGUGCGAAAGCGUGGGAGCAAACAGGAUUAGAUACCCGCGUAGUC
rnacentral:rRNA from 1 species